rnacentral:tRNA from 1 species
GCUGAUAGGGCUGCAAAAGCAGGGUAUUUUGAUAUAAUAUUAUUUAAAGUAUAUACUUUCAUCAGUA